rnacentral:rRNA from 1 species
UACGUAGGGUGCGAGCGUUAAUCGGAAUUACUGGGCGUAAAGUGUGCGCAGGUGGCUGAGCAAGUCGAGUGUGAAAUCCCCGGGCUUAACUUGGGAAUUGCGCUCGAAACUACUUGGCUCGAGUGUGGCAGAGGAAGGUGGAAUUCCAGGUGUAGCGGUGAAAUGCGUAGAGAUCUGGAGGAACACCAAUGGCGAAGGCAGCUCGCUGGGACGGUACUGACGCUGAGACGCGAAAGCGUGGGGAGCGAACGGG